rnacentral:rRNA from 1 species
AUUGAACGCUGGCGGCAUGCUUUACACAUGCAAGUCGAACGGCAGCACGGGCUUCGGCCUGGUGGCGAGUGGCGAACGGGUGAGUAAUGCAUCGGAACGUACCGUGUAAUGGGGGAUAACGUAGCGAAAGUUACGCUAAUACCGCAUACGCCCUGAGGGGGAAAGCGGGGGAUCGUAAGACCUCGCGUUAUACGAGCGGCCGAUGUCGGAUUAGCUAGUUGGUGGGGUAAAGGCCUACCAAGGCGACGAUCCGUAGCGGGUCUGAGAGGAUGAUCCGCCACACUGGGACUGAGACACGGCCCAGACUCCUACGGGAGGCAGCAGUGGGGAAUUUUGGACAAUGGGCGCAAGCCUGAUCCAGCCAUGCCGCGUGAGUGAAGAAGGCCUUCGG